rnacentral:tRNA from 1 species
GGGGGUUUAGCUCAGUGGCAUAAGCACCUGCCUUGCAAGCAGGAGGUCGUGAGUUCGAUCCCCG